UACGUGGGGUGCAAGCGUUGUUCGGAAUUACUGGGCGUAAAGGGCGCGUAGGCGGCCUUCUAAGUCGAACGUGAAAUCCCCGGGCUCAACCCGGGAACUGCGUCCGAUACUGGAAGGCUUGAAUCCGGGAAAGGGAUGUGGAAUUCCAGGUGUAGCGGUGAAAUGCGUAGAUAUCUGGAGGAACACCGGUGGCGAAGGCGGCAUCCUGGACCGGUAUUGACGCUGAGGCGCGAAAGCCAGGGGAGCAAACGGG
rnacentral:rRNA from 1 species